rnacentral:rRNA from 1 species
GACGUAGGGGGCCAGCGUUGUUCGGAAUUACUGGGCGUAAAGGGCUCGUAGGUGGCCAACUAAGUCAGACGUGAAAUCCCCUCAGGCUUAACUGGGACUGCGUCUGAUACUGGAUGGCUUGAGUUGGGAGAGGAGUGCGGAAUUCCGAGGUGUAGGCGGUAGAAAUGCGUAGAUAUCAGGAGGAACACCGAUGGCGAAGGCAGGUCUCUGGGCAUUAACUGACGCUGAGGAGCGAAAGCAUGGGGAGCGAACAGG